GUCACUGUCAAGAUUCAGCUUUAUUAAGCUCCAAAAUAAAGGUUCUGAACCCCAUAUAAUUAAAUUUUUCUGGCCGGAUCUGCAUUACACCAACCAUUUAAAACCAAGCGAAUUUUCUUAGGAAGACUCGUCAACCUAAAACGUGUGGUGAUUAUGAUAUGGCCAUACUAUCUCUACUUUGAGAAAGUUUCCCGUGAGCCUCUACAUGGGGAAGUACACGAUUAAACAAAAUAAUAAUUUUGGCUCCAAAAAGAAAUAUCAGGUCCUACAAUAUAGCCGCAUGUUGUUGCUUCAAGAUUACCCUAAUCUACAAUUUCUUAGCUGAUGACGAUGAUAUUCUGUGGACAACAAGCAAGGUGAGAUAUUCACCGAAUCGUUGCUGGGCUUGUGAACGCCCCACUCCCGAGGAAAAAAUGAAUUUCCAAUUUGGUUUGAAGCUAGUGUUUCUUAAAAAAGUUGCAGAGACAUCUUCAGCUUGUUCUGUCGCCAUUUUGCAAGCCCGUAGAAGGCCUUUCGCAUCAUUCCAAACUUCUCUUGAAACUCUUCAUCACUUAAGUAUGCCUCUCUUCUGGACACAUCUAUAUCUGUGACAGGAUCGCUUGAACCCACUAUCAAUCGUGCGUAUGGAUAUAUUAAUGAGUUUUCAGUAAAGUUACUUCUAUCAACCUGCACCAAAUUUGCGUCCUGAGGAGACCUUGCCUCUGCUUCUGGAGAACCAGCACUACCAUCAGGAGAUCCCGGAAAGAGCUUCCUCGCAAUCAGAGUUGGGCUUGAAAAAAGGUGGCUGUUUGCAGACUUGGACUUUGAGCCUGAAACACUGGAUGCACUAGAUAGAAUACUUCCCCUCCCAUUUGAACUGACAGAAUUGCUUCUCAAAUUAUCUGGAGUAGUCUCCCUAGAGAAUGCUUUCCAUGAAUUUAUUAUAGGAACUUCCAGAUUUUGCUUUUUCCCUUUCAGAAUGGCAAGCUUUCGUUCAAAUGAGUUGCCAAGCAUAUUUGCCUUUGAAGAAUCCCAUUCAAAGAAACAAGUGAAAAAUGGAGGUUCCUUCCCUUCUGUAACAACAUAAAUAGGAGUCUCCAAAGAGAGACCUUCAAUAUGAUGGACAUUCUCAAGGAAAUUCAGGCCAAGAGUAAGGGCUUGUUGCUUUGAUUUAACAUUUGCAUGACAUCCGAUCCAAACAUAGAUUUCUUUGUGACAAUUGAGUAUCAAGACAUCUUCUGUAGUUAAAUCAUCCUGAGUAAAGUUGUAUAUCUCCUUCACCUUAAAAUCACCUGAAAUCGAAUUCAACCAAGUAGCGAGAGAAUCAUUAUCCUCCAUUACAUGUAAUUUGACAACAAUUUACACCUGGGGUAAUUCAAAACCAAGGCAGAGCACUUCAUCUUUUGAGAGAAUAAAAUUUAAAAGAAAGGAUACUUUGCCUACCAUCAGCAAAUAUAAAUGCAAACAAAUGCGGAUCUUCAUUGUGUUGUUUUAUCUCCUUUUCCCUUGGAUACUCUGUUUUUCCACCAAGUGCCUCCCAGAAAACAUCAGGUUCACUCCCUUCUCGCACUGACAUAGGUUGCCAUGUUGGAUUAAUAAGCUCCAGCAUUCUAUCAAGAAGAUCAUGGUCUAUAGUGGAUGACAAAUUCCCAAUCCAAGUGAACGUAGACCUUCCAGUUUGCAGGAUGUAACAAUAGUAUGAAUUUAGAGAACUUGAAACUUGAUCAACUUGGAUGGCUUGCAUGCUACUUGGACUUGUCCCUUGAACUCGAAAAAGUGAGGUCUUUCCUUCAUCAUAAGUUUCAUCCAAAAUACCAUUUUCUGCAAUGAACCUCUUGUAUCGUUUACUCAAACCUCCCUUAAGAAUAAUUAUUGUCUGGAAAAUCAAGAAAAGUUGGAGUGGCUCCUUGUCCUGAAUAACUCGAGCCAAAACAGGAUCCCCCUUGGAUGAGUCAGCAAUAGCAUUCAUAUGGGUAAUGACAUCAGCUCUAUCUUCCAGUACACUUGCACGACCAAGCCAUGCAUAAAAUAGAUUUUCAUCCCUUCCAUCACCAGCAUAUGUAUAUUGGACAACAUAACAAUCCCCACUGAAAAGCUUUAUCUGCUCUUGAGCUGGAACAAGGAUCAACUCAUCACCAUCUACCCGCCAAACUUUUAGUUUGCCUUGGCAGUUUAUAUAGGACUGGCAGUCUUCUGCUUCAGGAAGCUCCUUCACAUCAUAACCCUGAUGCUUAAAUAUUGCUGCUACUUUUUCUCGACCUUCUUCGUACAAAUUGGGCUCCACUUGUGGCCAACUCUCAAAGAAUGACUUAAAUAUGGAAGUUUCUAGUCCUUCAGUAAGAAAUGUUAAAUGGGUUGCAGUGGACCUGCCCUGAUUUCUCAGAAAAUCUUCAAUAAAUGAAAUCGAUGUCUUCCGUUCUGUAAUAGAUGUAUUUCUACCCAUCCAUACAAAAAUCUCAGCACCACAGUCCAGCAUAUAGCACUUGUUUGAGUCAAGCAUUUCUUUGUUCAAUGAAUUACCUUCUUUCGGACAUAGUUUACCCUGUGUUGUUAUCCAGGAUAGUUGUACAGAUGAAGUAUCAUAUUCUUUCUGAACGCCAAAAGGCAAGUCCCUUGGAAUUGGAGCAUAACCACCAAACAAACUCCAAAAUUCACCAACAUCAGAAUCACCAACAAAUUUUCCAUCCUCUAUGGUUGCCACUUCACAUUUUCCCCCAUGCUUGUUCUCCUUGACAUACUGAACAACCUCCAAAGCUUUAGCUCUUUCUUGUAUACUAGAGUUGCACCCACUGAAGAGGAAAAUUUUUGAUGCAGUGUCAAGUAUGAAAACAUCAUUAUGGUUCAAGGAUGACCGAGAAAAAGGCACUUCUUUAACAGAAACAACAUGAUCGCCCUUGCAUUUUAACAUGCUAACUUUGUAUGAGUUGCUAUCUAAGUGCCCCAGCUGUGAUGAAUAUACUCCUUCAAUAGGUAUAAUACAAGGCUUGAAGUAUGACAAGAACUUCUCUGUUUCCUGGCCCUGAACCUCCCUAUACUGCACAGUGCAGGACCCUAGAGCUGUAUCUAAUUCAAGUGCUUUGUCUGAUGCCAAGGUUGAUUCCAUCUGAUUAGCAUCUUUUCCUAGCCAAUAAUGUAUGUCGUGCUGAGGAGGACCAUUUUUAAGCAAAAGAGUAUUCAAAACUAUAUACGCAUUUCCAGAAUGAAAUUUUCCAUGCAAAGACUUGGGAAGCGGAACCAACCGGAGAUUUUCCACGCACCAGAUCUCCAAACCGGGUUUUGCUCCUGCGCCGUGGAAGGCAGAGUCAAUAUCUUUAGACACGAGAGCCAUUGUUUCUCAUUGGUAAGCAAGUAUUAGAUCAUGGAUGAGCUGAGCAGUGGAGGAGAUAAAGAAAGCAAAAUCUCAGGUUAACAGUAUAGGUGAGAGAUUGAGAAUGAAUUGAAGAUAAAUUAGAUGAUUAAAGAUGUAAAAGAGGAAUUAGGAAAACGCAGAAAGCUGAAGCAAUGUGGUUUAGCACUUGAUUUGAUUGUUGAUAAUGGUAAGUGGGAACCGAAAGUGGAAGAAAUUAGAAGAAAAUGGAUUAUACAUUGGAUUGGCUUAGCUUUGCUUUGUCGGCCAGCUAAGAUGGGACCCACUUAAUUUUUGCUUUGUGACAGACUGCAAAAAAACAAAAGGGGAAUCGCGGGGGCUCCUCCCGCUCGUUUGAUUUCAACUUCGUCGGAGAAUCCUCCGACGUCGUUCGCGCAUUGACUGCUUUUCCGUCUUCUAUUCGCUCAGUCAUCGUUUU
rnacentral:misc_RNA from 1 species